AAAAGAAGGGGUAUUAAAAAAGACAGUACAACAAGCAAGUCACUAUAAUAAUUGUUUGGAAUUUGAGCCAUAUAAGUUCACAGGACAGCCAUACAAUGGAGAAUAGUACAAUUUAGAAAAUGAAGAAGAUGACUAGGCAUAUUUCUGUUAUAUAAUAUUCUUAAAACAGAAAAUCUCAGUUGAAUCUAAAGGAGAUGGUCAUUCUAUAUAAUAAGUUUCACCAGUCCAUUACCACCGU
rnacentral:misc_RNA from 1 species